rnacentral:rRNA from 1 species
UAGGGAAUCUUCGGCAAUGGGGGCAACCCUGACCGAGCAACGCCGCGUGAGUGAAGAAGGUUUUCGGAUCGUAAAGCUCUGUUGUAAGAGAAGAACGUGUGUGAGAGUGGAAAGUUCACACAGUGACGGUAACUUACCAGAAAGGGACGGCUAACUACGUGCCAGCAGCCGCGGUAAUACGUAGGUCCCGAGCGUUGUCCGGAUUUAUUGGGCGUAAAGCGAGCGCAGGCGGUUUAAUAAGUCUGAAGUUAAAGGCAGUGGCUUAACCAUUGUUCGCUUUGGAAACUGUUAAACUUGAGUGCAGAAGGGGAGAGUGGAAUUCCAUGUGUAGCGGUGAAAUGCGUAGAUAUAUGGAGGAACACCGGUGGCGAACGCGGCUCUCUGGUCUGUAACUGACGCUGAGGCUCGAAAGCGUGGGGAGCAAACAGG